rnacentral:rRNA from 1 species
CCUACGGGAGGCAGCAGUCGAGAAUCAUUCACAAUGGGGGAAACCCUGAUGGUGCGACGCCGCGUGGGGGAAUGAAGGUCUUCGGAUUGUAAACCCCUGUCAUGUGGGAGCAAAUUAAAAAGAUAGUAUCACAAGAGGAAGAGACGGCUAACUCUGUGACAGCAGCCGCGGUAAUACAGAGGUCUCAAGCGUUGUUCGGAAUCACUGGGCGUAAAGCGUGCGUAGGCUGGUUCAUAAGUCGGAUGUGAAAGGCGUCGGCUGAACCCGCGGACGGCACAUGAAACUGCGAGACUAGAGUAAAGAAGGGGGGACCGGAAUUCUCGGUGUAGCAGUGAAAUGCGUAGAUA